rnacentral:rRNA from 1 species
AGCGAACGCUGGCGGCAGGCCUAACACAUGCAAGUCGAACGAACUCUUCGGAGUUAGUGGCGGACGGGUGAGUAACACGUGGGAACGUGCCUUUUGGUUCGGAAUAACUCAGGGAAACUUGUGCUAAUACCGAAUGUGCCCUUCGGGGGAAAGAUUUAUCGCCAUUGGAGCGGCCCGCGUCUGAUUAGCUAGUUGGUGAGGUAACGGCUCACCAAGGCGACGAUCAGUAGCUGGUCUGAGAGGAUGACCAGCCACACUGGGACUGAGACACGGCCCAGACUCCUACGGGAGGCAGCAGUGGGGAAUCUUGCGCAAUGGGCGAAAGCCUGACGCAGCCAUGCCGCGUGAAUGAUGAAGGUCUUAGGAUUGUAAAAUUCUUUCACCCGGGAUGAUAAUGACGGUACCGGGAGAAGAAGCCCCGGCUAACUCCGUG